GUCGAGAAUCUUUCACAAUGGGGGCAACCCUGAUGGAGCGACGCCGCGUGGAGGAUAAGGUCUUCGGAUUGUAAACUCCUGUCAUGCGUGAACAAGGUUGCUUGGUUAAUACCUGGGCAAAUUGAUGGUAACGCAAGAGGAAGAGACGGCUAACUCUGUGCCAGCAGCCGCGGUAAUACAGAGGUCUCAAGCGUUGUUCGGAAUCACUGGGCGUAAAGGGUGCGUAGGAGGCGUGGUAAGUCAGAUGUGAAAGCCCGGGGCUCAACCUCGGAACUGCAUCCGAUACUGCCAUGCUAGAGUAGUGGAGAGGUGACUAGAAUUCUCGGUGUAGCAGUGAAAUGCGUAGAUAUCGAGAGGAAUACCAAAGGCGUAGGCAGGUCACUGGACAGUUACUGACACUGAGGCACGAAGGCCAGGGGAGCGAACGGGAUUAGAUACCCGAGUAGUCC
rnacentral:rRNA from 1 species